rnacentral:rRNA from 2 species
ACAACUUUCAGCGAUGGAUGUCUCGGUUCGAACAACGAUGAAGGGCGCAGCGAAGUGCGAUAAGCAUUGUGAAUUGCAGGAUUCCGUGAACCGACAGGAACUUGAACGCAUAUUGUGCUUUUGGGAUAUUCCCGAAAGCAUGCCUUCUUCAGUGUCUAUG